AGCAUUUACCUUUUUCUCCCUAUCUGAUCCCUCCAGAAUUUGAAAACUCUUGAUGAAUGAUCCAAAAGACCCAGAGAGAAUUCGAAUUAAAGAACCAGACACUCUCAGAUGUUCCUCUGCAUCAUCUCUAUAGUGGAGACUGAAUCCUAUUAAAAUACUGGAAACACAAGCACCCAGAAGAUCAAUUUCAUCUCUGCUGAAUGGGACCAUACAAGCAAUGCCACAGGAAACAGGAAUCAUGCCAUAGAAGAACAUCACAACAGGAUCACCCAAACCUUGGCUGGCUUCAUACUCUAGACACUGACUUCUCCAAAUGGACAAGUGAACCUCUAAUAGAUCUCAAGUUGCUGUACAGAAGACGGUCCCCUAAAACAGGAAGCAGCUGGAGCGGUCUUCAUCCCCAUUCCCCAAGAUUGACGAAUGAUCAAAAGAGAAGGGGGAUUGAAACUGAAGAUGAAGGAGUUAAAAUUUCCCUGGAUUAGGGUGAAACUGUGCCUUGUACCCACAAGGUUAACGUGGGAAACAAAAUAACCAAAGUUUCUGAGCUUGCCUUGCAGAACAGCAGGAGGACCACUGAUAAGAGAGGAACUUGCUGACAGCCCCCUGCCUGACUAAGCAUCUUGGAGGAACAUUGAGAAGCUAAAAUGACUGAUUGCAAACUUUAGAUGUCAAAGACUAAAGACUAAAAAGCCACCACUUGAAACAUGUAGAACAGACAGUCACACCUGUGCAGAGGACACUUAGAACUUCAGCCCAGAAGGCCACAUGCCCCCCUCCCCUACCUAAAACCCCGAACAAAAACCCUUGCUUGUAGCUUUUUGGAAGUUCAAAAUUACAGUGUUAGCUGCCCAUUCCCCUUACUCAGUGCUUUGCAAUAAAAUUCCUACUUUCUUCCACUA